AACGAACGCUGGCGGCAUGCCUAACACAUGCAAGUCGAACGAGACCUUCGGGUCUAGUGGCGCACGGGUGCGUAACGCGUGGGAACCUGCCCUUAGGUUCGGAAUAACUCCCCGAAAGGGGUGCUAAUACCGGAUAAUGUAUCCGGAGCAAAGAUUUAUCGCCUUUGGAUGGGCCCGCGUUGGAUUAGAUAGUUGGUAGGGUAAAAGCCUACCAAGGCGACGAUGCAUAGCUGGUCUGAGAGGAUGAUCAGGCACACUGGGAGUGAGACACGGUGCAGACUCCUACGAGAGGCAGCAGUGGGGAAUAUUGAACGAUGGGCGAAAGCCUGAUGCAGCAAUGCCGCGUGAGUGAUGAAGGCCUGAGGGUUGUAAAGCUCUUUUACACGGGAUGAUAAUGACAGUACCGGAAGAAUAAGCUCCGGCUAACUCCGUG
rnacentral:rRNA from 1 species